AUUGAACGCUGGCGGCAUGCCUUACACAUGCAAGUCGAACGGUAACGGGCCUUCGGGUGCCGACGAGUGGCGAACGGGUGAGUAAUGUAUCGGAACGUACCAUUGAGUGGGGGAUAACGUAGCGAAAGUUACGCUAAUACCGCAUAUUCUCUCCGGAGGAAAGCAGGGGACCGCAAGGCCUUGCGCUCUUUGAGCGGCCGAUAUCAGAUUAGCUAGUUGGUGGGGUAAAAGCCUACCAAGGCGACGAUCUGUAGCGGGUCUGAGAGGAUGAUCCGCCACACUGGAACUGAGACACGGUCCAGACUCCUACGGGAGGCAGCAGUGGGGAAUUUUGGACAAUGGGGGCAACCCUGAUCCAGCCAUGCCGCGUGAGUGAAGAAGGCCUUCGGGUUGUAAAGCUCUUUCAGCCGGGAAGAAAUCGCAUGGGCUAAUACCCCGUGCGGAUGACGGUACCGGAAUAAGAAGCACCGGCUAACUACGUGCCAGCAGCCGCCGUAAGAC
rnacentral:rRNA from 1 species